AGAUCCCUCGUGGGGUGGGGCCGGCACCUGCGGGAAGCCGCGGAGGUGGGGCCGAAGAGCCUGCGGGCGCUGGGAGGUGGGACGGGCAGCUGAACCGAGGCGAAAGGAGGGGCGGGCCGGCAGGAAGUUCAGCCUCGACAAAUAGAGAAACUCUUCAAUUUCCUUUAGCCAGGUGACAAUGCUCUAACUGGAAGACCAGAAGCUGUAUUGCUGAAGAAGGGUCAGAUGGAAACUGGGAGGCAUUCUCUGCCACAUUCCAUAAAGCAGCACAAUUCCUUUCUCCAUGUUUCUUCAGUGGAGCACCAGAUGAAGUAACUGGCUUGCAUCAGGGAUUGUGUCUUCUAAAGGAACCAAUAUUUAGCCCUGUGAGAUGCUCUGACUACAGCAGGAAGAGGGACAAAAAUGGAAAACUAGGAUGAGCAAGUCCCACCAGAGUUCCUUCUGUCUUCUGCCCAGAGAGCGAUAGCAGCAACUUGCUCAUGGAGUCUCAAGUUUUAAUCUUGAAGAAUAUGACCUAACUUCUUUGGGAUCUGGAAGUUGGCAGGGAGCAUCUUAUUCUAUUUCCGCUUUCUCACGGAUGACGUUUCUGGAAUCAGAUAUGCUCAAUUUGGCUCCUCAAUUUGCAAUCCUCAAAGGAGAGAGGCCAGAUGAUGCAGUCUGGCAGACUUUUCUGCCCUUCUUUGCUUCAAAAUUAAAAAUGUGUGUGUAUGUGCAUAUUUGAGCGCAUACACAGUUUGCGGAUCUGAGGUAUGGGUAUUGUGGCCUGGCCCUCGUCCCGCCACUAACUAGCUGCAUGGGGUCAGGCAGGUCACCAGCUCUGGUUUUAAUUUCCGUGCUGAAAUACAGAAUGUUGGACCCGCUGAUACUGCUCCAACAUUUUAUGAUUCUGUAUACCACCACAAGCAUGUCCUGAAAAGGUUAACCUGGGUUUGAAUCUCACCCUCUACUGUGACAGUCUGUGCAUAGGUCCUUUUUAAUUCCCUCCUGUUUGAUUAAGUACGAUGAAACCUUCCUACAACAAAUUCACCUAAAAGGAUUGGGGUUACUUAUGCACAGAGAGUGAAGACUUCAACAGGUUUGCUCUAAUAAGCAAUAAUUUUUAAAGAUGUGGUAAUCUUCCAGUUAGUAUUUAUCUUUCAUGGCCCCACAAACUGCAUCUUUAAAUCUUUAAAUCCAUAAAUAAGUUUCCUUAAAGUAUCGCACUUUCCUGAUCCUUCAAGCUCAAUGAUAAAGGGAAAGCACAAGAAAAACUUCAGUAGAAUAGUUUUUAUUUUGUAAACAUUAAUGUAUUAAAUUUGCUAUACAUCGAAGCAAAUAAUAUACAUUUUUAUUUGAAUUGUAUAUAUGAAUUGGAUGUUAUGACUAGUUGAUUUUUUCAUUGUGUUAGAGGUAUUUUCGCUGAACAAGGUCAAUUGGUUACCUCAGUAUUACAGCCAAUAUAGCCCAAGGGACCAUUCUCCCCAAGUCUGUGUUGUACUUUAUUAUGUGAAGUUGCAUUUCUGUGACUCUGUUGGUGAGGUAGGAUGAGUGCACUUGCUUCUUGUGGUAAUAAACUUUUUCUGUGCCUCACAAAUUGAAACAACAACAACAAAAACAGGUUUGCUUCUUUCAAUAUAUAAAGAGCAUAUGCCUUUUAAAAUAGAUACAAUGUCCCAUCAACUGUGUGGGUAAGAGGAGAUGCAGUGUGAAAAUGCAUAGCUAGAAAUGAGGCACUGGGAGUCUUCAUUUCAAAUUUCCAAUUUAUUUCUCACUGAUAGUAGUAAGCAAAAAGAUAAUUCUUUCCUCUCAAAAUGUUUUGACUAUUUCUAUUUUUAAUGUCUGUUAAGCUUUUUUGUCUCCCUUUCAAGGUAAAGAGUCUUUUUCUGACCUAUUUUCACAUGCUGAAAUGGGGAGAAAAGUCAAGUGUAAUGAUCUUCAAUCAGCAGGGACAUCUCUCUCUGCUGGGCAGUGGGGGCAGAAAAGAAUAUUUCAGAAAUUCUUGGAAAUGAUGUUUAAAAAAUUAUAUCUAGACUUCUCUUCUAAAAAACAAAAAUCCUGUUUUGAGAAUAGUAAUUUGGAAUUGGAGCAAUCCAAGCUUGAUAAAAUCAUGGCCAGGUAAGGUAGGCAGAGUAGAGUUUGAAGUAGGCACUUUGGGUUGCUCACUUGUUCCCUCCUCCUUAAAAGAGGCUUGAUUUUGUUCCCGUGGCAACAUGCCCAGACAAUGAAUCAUAAUUGGUUAAAAUCUGUCAUGAUAUCCUCUGUGUCACCUCCCUUGCAGUCGGAAGUGGCCAUGUGAGCCAGUUCUGACUCCAGAAACAUCUGAAGAAGGUUGCUGGGGACACCAUUGGGUGACUUUGGGAGGCAUGUGGCUGUGUCUCCCUAUGCCUUGAUAGAUGAUGCUAUGUCAGGAAUCUCAAAUGCUUUCCUGUGAUCUCCUGGUGAUAAGUCCACAAGUCAAGGAUGGAAAAUCCUGGCUUUUUAAUGAUAUCUCUAAAAGAUUUUAUUUAUUUGAGGGGGGAAGGAGGGAGAGAGAGAGAGAAUGAAUGGGGAGGGGGAUGGAGGGAGAAGCAGACUCCCCACUGAGCAGGGAGCCAGACUCACAGAGUUCCAUCCCAGGAUCCUGGGAUCACAACCUGAACCAAAGGUUAGACUGAGCCACUCAGGCGUCUCCUUUUUAUGAUUUUUGAAUUGCUGCAAAAGCAGAGGUGCCAGAUAAAAUACAGGACAAAUCUGAAUUUCAGAAAAACAACAGCCUUACAUAUGUAGUAUUUGAGACUUAUUUAUGCUAAAGUUAUUUAUAAGUAACUACAGAGUAUCUGAAGUUCAAAUUUAACUGUGUCUUCUAAUUGUGUUUUGUUUUGUUUUUUCCCUAAAUCUGACAACUCUAUGUACAAACUUUGGACUGCCUGCUUUGAACUUAAAACAAACAAACAAACAAAUAAAAAAACCAGUGAGUUUAAGCUACUACUCCUCAAAUGAUAUAUUGGUUGCCUGUGAAUUCAUUCUUGAUGUAAUAGGAAUUUAUCUUUGUACCCAAUAUUUUUUGUGUGUUCAUCACAUGCUAGACAUGUGCUGAUUCUCAGGGGUGUGUGUGUAAAUAAGUCACAGUGGCAAGGCCUGCCUUCAUGGAGCUUCUAUGUAGCUGGAGAGACUGCCACAAAAUGAGUGAUUCUGCAUGUGAUAGUAUAAUUACAAUAGUGCUUUGAAGGACAAGUAGGGGAGCCUUGAGAGCAUCUCAGAGGGAAGGAUGAGAGAAGUCUUCCUUGAGUAGGACCUCAAGGCACUCUGAAGGAGGGGCAGGAAGGGCAGGCUGGUUGGAGGGAAGGGUUGUGGAAGUUCACUCUGAGCAUCUGGAAUGCGGCAGGAAGGGUCCUGGUAACUCUGAGGAGAGGAGGUCACGGCACUGAACAGCAAAAAGCUGAGUGAUGGGCAAUGAGAACAGACAGGCACAGAGAAGCUGGUUCAGGGAAUGCCUUGGAGGCCAUACUAAAGAUUUGAGCCUUAUUCUAUGCUACGGUCAGAUAUCACAUAUCUGCAUAUCAUCUUACAAAGAGGAAAUAAAGGCUUUCAAUAGUUUGAAAUAAAGACUUCCCAUAAUUCAAUCAAGUCAUAAUAGCUAUCAGGUGGAAGAACCGCCAUUUGAGCUUUGUUGUUUUUUGCUUUCUGUGUAGUGUGUGUGAUCAAAAACUUCCUAAUUAUCAUUGAGUACAAACUAGUUAGAAAUACAGAAAAGGGACUCCUGGGUGGCUCA